CCUACGGGAGGCAGCAGUGGGGAAUAUUGGACAAUGGGCGAAAGCCUGAUCCAGCCAUGCCGCGUGUGUGAAGAAGGCCUUCGGGUUGUAAAGCACUUUCAGUGGGGAAGAAAGCCUUGGGGCUAAUACCCUCGAGGAAGGACAUCACCCACAGAAGAAGCACCGGCUAACUCCGUGCCAGCAGCCGCGGUAAUACGGAGGGUGCGAGCGUUAAUCGGAAUUACUGGGCGUAAAGCGCGCGUAGGCGGUCUGAUAAGCCGGUUGUGAAAGCCCCGGGCUCAACCUGGGAACGGCAUCCGGAACUGUCAGGCUAGAGUGCAGGAGAGGAAGGUAGAAUUCCCGGUGUAGCGGUGAAAUGCGUAGAGAGCGGGAGGAAUACCAGUGGCGAAGGCGGCCUUCUGGACUGACACUGACGCUGAGGUGCGAAAGCGUGGGUAGCAAACAGGAUUAGAUACCCUGGUAGUC
rnacentral:rRNA from 1 species